rnacentral:rRNA from 1 species
GGGUGAGAAUCCCGUAUGUGAUUGCGUGCCUUCGCCGUGUAAAGCCCCUUCAACGAGUCGUGUUGUUUGGGAAUGCAGCACUAAAUGGGAGGUAAAUUUCUUCUAAAGCUAAAUACUGGCCAGAGACCGAUAGCGCACAAGUAGAGUGAUCGAAAGAUGAAAAGCACUUUGGAAAGAGAGUCAAACAGCACGUGAAAUUGUUGAAAGGGAAGCGCUUGUAGCCAGACUUGCCUGCAGUUGCUCAUCCGGGCUCCUGCCCGGUGCACUCUUCUGCAGGCAGGCCAGCAUCAGUUUAGGCGGCUGGAGAAUGGCCUCUGUCAUGUACCUUCUCUCGGGAAGGCCUUAUAGGGGAGGCGUAAUACAGCCAGUCUGAACUGAGGUCCGCGCAUCUGCUAGGAUGCUGGCGUAAUGGCUAUAAGCGGCCCGUCUUGAAACACGGACCAAGGAGUCUAACAUCUAUGCGAGUGUUUGGGUGUCAAGCCCGAGCGCGCAAUGAAAGUGAACGGAGGUGGGACCCUUUUAGGUGCACCAUCGACCGAUCCUGAUGUCUUCGGAUGGAUUUGAGUAAGAGCAUAGCUGUUGGGACCCGA